CAGGCGACCACGUGUCACGUGUCUGAAUUCUGUUUUCAGGAUUGUGGUGGCUGUACAUCGUUGUACCUGUCGUUGUAACAGCACUCGUAGUCGGUGUUGUGGCGCUCGUCAGAUGGAAGAAAACUGAAGGUGACAACAUUCACACGUGAAGCUUUUAGAACCAGGACGGUUUGAUUGAACCAGGAUUUUCACUGUGGACGUUUUGUGUUUCAGAGAACAACAGAGAGCAGGAUGGAAAGUUGGUGGGUUGUAAAACAGAAUGGUUCAAACGCUGAUGUUGUUUCUGUUGCUUCCACUUAGUGCUGCUGUCUUGUAUUUGUGCAGGAACUGAGCUUAAACCCUGCAGAGACUCAGUCUGCUCCAGAAACCACUCAGGACACGACUGAUCCUGAAGAUGGAGUUUCCUACGCCUCCAUCAACCACAGCAAGAAUAAACAAAACAAAUUCCAGGUUCAGACUGGUGAUGAAGAUGAAGGUGAUGCAGUGACCUACAGCACUGUGAAAGUUCCCUCUUCUUCUCCUGGAGCCUCCGCUGAUCCCAACAACCUCUACGCUACCAUCCACUAACUAGGAACCAGGAAAUUAAAGCUCCUCACAGGAAGAUUACGGAUGUAUUGAAUUAAUAAAGAUUAAGUGCAGACUUGUGAUGAGAUGAAUGUGUUGAAGUAAGAAUAUGGGAACCGGCUG
rnacentral:lncRNA from 1 species